AUCGGCACCAAGACCGACUGCCCUUUGGGGUGAGGUAGUAGGUUGUAUAGUUUGGGGCUCUGCCCUGCUAUGGGAUAACUAUACAAUCUACUGUCUUUCCUGAAGUGGCUGUAAUAUCUGCGGUGGACA
rnacentral:precursor_RNA from 1 species